CCGAGUUGUAAUUUGUAGAGGAUGCUUUUGGUGAGGUGCCUUCUGAGUUCCCUGGAACGGGACGCCAGAGAGGGUGAGAGCCCCGUAUAGUCGGCCACCGAUCCUUUGUAAAGCUCCUUCGACGAGUCGAGUAGUUUGGGAAUGCUGCUCAAAAUGGGAGGUAUAUCUCUUCUAAAGCUAAAUAUAGGCCAGAGACCGAUAGCGCACAAGUAGAGUGAUCGAAAGAUGAAAAGCACUUUGAAAAGAGGGUUAAAUAGCACGUGAAAUUGUUGAAAGGGAAGCGCUUGUGACCAGACUUGUGCCGGGCUGAUCAUCCAGUGUUCUCACUGGUGCACUCGACCCGGCUCAGGCCAGCGUCGGUUUUCGCGGGGGGAUAA
rnacentral:rRNA from 1 species